CUAGCCAAUCAUUCGGAACGGCUCCGGUUCUUUAAAAAGUCGAGCGAUUUCACCAAAAUGCAACAGUCAACUGAGAGCAGUGCUAUCAAAAGUAUUCUCUACUAAACAAAUCGUGAAAACUUAAAACCAAGAACUCUUUCAAAAUGAAAUUCUUGAUCAUGACCAUCUGCCUGAUCGUUCUGGCCUUUGCCCUGGUGUCUGCUGCUACCAAUGAUGAAACCAUCCUGGGAGAUCAAGGCGCGGACGAGAUCGUGAACGCACAGAACCCUGCGGAAUUCCACUAUCUCAGGAAGAAGUGGCUGCUGAAGAAACUGCUGCACUUGGGCUAGAAGUAGCCAUUUAUUCUAGUUUGCUUCCCAAAGGUGUACAAAAUAGAGCAGACUGUGUCUGUUUCCCAUAGAUUAAUUGAACUACAUUCUAAGAUAAAAUAAAAAAUAUACUUGUACAAUAAAAGUUACAUAUAAUUUCAAAUACAAACUCAACUUAAACAGUA